ACUGGUGACAGAAGGAGGGAGGGAGUAGUGACAGAGUGAGGGAGGUGGUGACUAGUGACAGUCACCACCUCCCUCACUCUGUCACUAGUCACCCCUUUCUU